AUGGCAAGAGCAGCUCGAAGUUCGAAGAAUCAUAGCAAUAGGAUGGACUCGAUGGAGAAGCUGCCGCCGGACACGGAGCUGAUCUCGGUGACGCCGACGCCGUACCUGGAGCCGAUGUCGCCUCGCUCCCACUUCUCGCCCAACUCGGGGACGCCCCCCGUGCACGGACAGCGGCACCAGCAGCGCAACUCCUACGCCGCCUCGCCCUCCUUCCCUGGCCCGGCGUUCCCGGACAACUCCUUCGGGGUCGAAGGGGGGCCCUUCAACGCCCUCCUCGGGUUCGACCUCCUCCAGGGCGCCCCCGCCGACUUCCCCUCCGUCGUCAGAACCGAGAUCAAGAACCUCCUCGAGCGCAGCAACGACGGACUCAGCAUCCUCGUCUACUUCGAGAAGAAUCAGACACUCUCAAACUCCCUCAGAUCUAAACUGGUGCAAAUCGUGAUCGAGCACGAGUGUCGCGGGGACCCCGGACGAAAGAUCACGACGGACAGGUUCAUCGAGCUGGCGGCCAUGAUCGCGAAAACCUUCCCGAACGAGUCUCCAGCCGCCUACUACGUCCCCUUCUCCAUCGAGAACGGCCGCCAGAAGAACGCCCAGGGGAAGCUCUGGGCCCGCUACAACAACCAGAAGCGCCUCUAUCGCUCCACCGGACUCCUCAAGUCAGCAAGACACCACGACUCCCUCUUUUCCGACAUGUUCUUCCUCAGCGCCCGCUAA
rnacentral:lncRNA from 1 species